GACGAACCGUGCGAACGUUGUUCGGAAUCACUGGGCUUAAAGGGCGCGUAGGCGGGCUGCCGCGUCCGGGGUGAAAUCCGUCCCGCUCAACGGGAGAACGGCCUCGGAUACGGGCGGCCUCGAGGGGGGUAGGGGCGUCUGGAACUGUGGGUGGAGCGGUGAAAUGCGUAGAUAUCAAGAGGAACACCUGAGGUGAAGCGGGUUGCUGGGCGUGACACUGACGCUGAGGC
rnacentral:rRNA from 1 species